rnacentral:rRNA from 1 species
GAUGAACGCUGGCGGCGUGCCUAAUACAUGCAAGUCGAGCGAACAGACGAGGAGCUUGCUCCUCUGACGUUAGCGGCGGACGGGUGAGUAACACGUGGAUAACCUACCUCUAAGACUGGGCUAACUUCGGGAAACCGGAGCUACUACCGGAUAAUAUAUUGAACCGCAUGGUUCAAUAGUGAAAGACGGUUUUGCUGUCACUUAUAGAUGGAUCCGCGCGGCAUUAGCUAGUUGGUAAGGUAACGGCUUACCAAGGCAACGAUGCGUAGCCGACCUGAGAGGGUGAUCGGCCACACUGGAACUGAGACACGGUCCAGACUCCUACGGGAGGCAGCAGUAGGGAAUCGUCCGCAAUGGGCGAAAGCCUGACGGAGCAACGCCGCGUGAGUGAUGAAGGUCUUCGGAUCGUAAAACUCUGUUAUUAGGGAAGAACAAAUGUGUAAGUAACUAUGCACGUCUUGACGGUAGCUAAUCAGAAAGCCACGGCUAACUACGUG